UCCCAAACCCAAUGGUGAACGUUACCAAACUGUUGCCUCGGCGGGAUCUCUGCCCCGGGUGCGUCGCAGCCCCGGACCAAGGCGCCCGCCGGAGGACCAACCAAAACUCUUAUUGUAUACCCCCUCGCGGGUUUUUUUAUAAUCUGAGCCUUCUCGGCGCCCCUCGUGGGCGUUUCGAAAAUGAAUCAAAACUUUCAACAACGGAUCUCUUGGUUCUGGCAUCGAUGAAGAACGCAGCGAAAUGCGAUAAGUAAUGUGAAUUGCAGAAUUCAGUGAAUCAUCGAAUCUUUGAACGCACAUUGCGCCCGCCAGUAUUCUGGCGGGCAUGCCUGUCCGAGCGUCAUUUCAACCCUCGAACCCCUCCGGGGGGUCGGCGUUGGGGAUCGGCCCUCCCUCUGCGGGGGCCGUCUCCGAAAUACAGUGGCGGUCUCGCCGCAGCCUCUCCUGCGCAGUAGUUUGCACACUCGCACCGGGAGCGCGGCGCGUCCACAGCCGUUAAACACCCCAACUUUCUGAAAUGUUGACCUCGGAUCAGGUAGGAAUACCCGCUGAACUUAAGCAUAUCAAUAAGCGGAGG
rnacentral:rRNA from 1 species